UACGUAGGGGGCAAGCGUUGUCCGGAAUCAUUGGGCGUAAAGAGCGUGUAGGCGGCCCGGUAAGUCCGCUGUGAAAGUCCAGGGCUCAACCCUGGAAUGCCGGUGGAAACUGUCGGGCUAGAGUCCGGAAGAGGCGAGUGGAAUUCCUGGUGUAGCGGUGAAAUGCGCAGAUAUCAGGAGGAACACCAAUGGCGAAGGCAGCUCGCUGGGACGUGACUGACGCUGAGACGCGAAAGCGUGGGGAGCAAACAGG
rnacentral:rRNA from 1 species